ACUUGAAUAGUUUAUUUAAAAUAUCGAUUUGUGGUGUCGGUGAUAUAUUUUUAUAUUUUAGGUU
rnacentral:tRNA from 1 species